AAAGCCACGGCUAACUACGUGCCAGCAGCCGCGGUAAUACGUAGGUGGCAAGCGUUAUCCGGAAUUAUUGGGCGUAAAGCGCGCGUAGGCGGUUUUUUAAGUCUGAUGUGAAAGCCCACGGCUCAACCGUGGAGGGUCAUUGGAAACUGGAAAACUUGAGUGCAGAAGAGGAAAGUGGAAUUCCAUGUGUAGCGGUGAAAUGCGCAGAGAUAUGGAGGAACACCAGUGGCGAAGGCGGCUUUCUGGUCUGCAACUGACGCUGAUGUGCGAAAGCGUGGGGAUCAAACAGGAUUAGAUACCCUGGUAGUCCACGCCGUAAACGAUGAGUGCUAAGUGUUAGGGGGUUUCCGCCCCUUAGUGCUGCAGCUAACGCAUUAAGCACUCCGC
rnacentral:rRNA from 1 species